UGGAAAUCCCCCUUCCUUGCCUAAAAUAACUGGACCUGGAACGCGACAAUAUAAGCUUUGUCCAGGCUUGAAACAAUAUCCUUUCCAAGUGGAUUUUGUACGGAAAUACUCACCAGUCUAUGGUGGUAGUUCUCACUGACGGGCUAGAAAAAGGUUAGUCAUUCUGUGUUCCAUAGCUAAAAGGGCCAUUGUUAGUAGCGAUGAGUCCCCGAGGAGUGAAAUUCAAGUAAGUGGACAUGGUCAGAUUGGAUUCACCCGCCUUCUCCCUGCCCCUCAUCUCAUUUGAUCUCUUUACUCUCGCAAAAAUCUAAUUCCAGACAUAGACGCGCUCUCCAUUUAUUCAAUUACUUUUAUUGCAAGUCUGUUGGUGACAACCUUCCCCCGGACACUCCCAGGCAGAUUCUGGGGAAACGAGAGAAGGAGAUGCCCGGGUCCUGAUGGCAGAGCAGAGCUCAGAGCGGCGGAGUCAGGACGAAUGUCUAGUCCGUGAGAUUCAUCUCCGCCUGAAGCUACAGAUGACAGCUUCACUGUACUCACAUGGAGAGAGCGUACCUGGAAAUAAUGCCAACAUAAAGGAAAAGAAAGCCAAGAAAUGGAGAACGGUGUGCUCCUGCUAACUGCAUUACACCCCGGAUCCAGCUAUGCCUGAAAGAGCUGCGUGCCCCCAGGCAGGAGGCAGGUUGGGGAUCUAUCUGGAAGAAUGCAGACACUAAACAGGGAGAGGGCCCAGGACCGCACAGAAGCAGAGAGAGGCCCGGGUGGUGCCUAGUUGAUGAGGCUUCUGGCAUCUCAGGAAAUAAAAAUGAAGAAUUGCCAAAAAAGAGGGUUACCAAAAAGGGUGGGAUUUUUUUCAGCAUUUGCAUUGAAUGAAAUGAGAUCUUGAACACACACACACACACACAUUACCGGUCACUGUAAUGAUAUCACACUUUAUACAGGAUUAUAAGAUUUAAAAGGCAUAUAUAAUCUAUAUAUAUAAAAUCUAUAAAUAGAUCUGAUCUGUGGAUGGGACUGCCGGCCUGUGAUCUUCUUAGAGACGGCAUCAGAAGGGCAGCACAAGGAUUAGGCCU
rnacentral:lncRNA from 1 species